rnacentral:rRNA from 1 species
GGGGAGUCGGCCGCAAGGUUAAACUCAAAUGAAUUGACGGGGGCCCGCACAAGCGGUGGGCAGUGGUUUAAUUCGAUGCAACGCGAAGAACUUACCUGGUCUUGACAUCCAGGUGCUGCAUGGCUGUCGUCAGCUCGUGUUGUGAAAUGUUGGGUUAAGUCCCGCAACGAGCGCAACCCUUAUCCUUUGUUGCAACUCAAAGGAGACUGCCAGUGAUAAACUGGAGGAAGGUGGGGAUGACGUCAAGUCAUCAUGGCCCUUACGACCAGGGCUACACACGUGCUACAAUGGCGCAUACAAAGAGAAGCGACCUCGCGAGAGCAAGCGGACCUCAUAAAGUGCGUCGUAGUCCGGAUUGGAGUCUGCAACUCGACUCCAUGAAGUCGGAAUCGCUAGUAAUCGUGGAUCAGAUGCCACGGUGAAUACGUUCCCGGGCCUUGUACACACCGCCCGUCACACCAUGGGAGUGGGUUGCAAAAGAAGUAGGUUACCACUUUGUGAUUCAUGACUGGGGUGAAGUCGUAACAAGGUAACCGA